rnacentral:rRNA from 1 species
GAUGAACGCUAGCGGCAGGCUUAAUACAUGCAAGUCGAGGGGCAGCAUGAUUGUAGCAAUACAAUUGAUGGCGACCGGCAAACGGGUGCGGAACACGUACACAACCUUCCUAUAAGUGGGGAAUAGCCCAGAGAAAUUUGGAUUAAUACCCCGUAACAUAACGAUGUGGCAUCACAUUGUUAUUAUAGAUUUUUCGCUUAUUGAUGGGUGUGCGGCUGAUUAGAUAGUUGGCGGGGUAACGGCCCACCAAGUCUACGAUCAGUAGCUGAUGUGAGAGCAUGAUCAGCCACAUGGGAACUGAGACACGGGCCCGACUCCUACGGGAGGCAGCAGUAAGGAAUAUUGGACAAUGGACGCAAGUCUGAUCUAGCCAUGCCGCGUGAAGGAUUAAGGUCCUCUGGAUUGUAAACUUCUUUUAUAAGGGACGAAAAAAGGCUUUUCUAAGUCGUCUGACGGUACCUUAUGAAUAAGCACCGGCUAACUCCGUGCCAGCCGCCGCCGUAACAC